GGUGCAUGGUUGUCGUCAGCUCGUGUCGUGAGAUGUUGGGUUAAGUCCCGCAACGAGUCGCAACCCUUGUCUUUAGUUACCAUCAUUCAGUUGGGGACUCUAGAGAGACUGCCGGUGAUAAACCGGAGGAAGGUGGGGAUGACGUCAAAUCAUCAUGCCCCUUAUGACCUGGGCUACACACGUACUACAAUGGCGCAUACAACGAGCUGCGAGAUGGUGACAUCAAGCGAAUCUCUUAAAAUGCGUCUCAGUUCGGAUCGAAGUCUGCAACUCGACUUCGUGAAGCUGGAUUCGCUAGUAAUCGCGCAUCAGCCAUGGCGCGGUGAAUACGUUCCCGGGCCUU
rnacentral:rRNA from 1 species